UACGAAGGGUGCAAGCGUUACUCGGAAUUACUGGGCGUAAAGCGUGCGCAGGCGGUUUUGUAAGCCAGAUGUGAAAUCCCCGGGCUUAACCUGGGAAUGGCAUUUGGGACUGCAAGGCUCGAGUGCGGCAGAGGAGACUGGAAUUCCUGGUGUAGCAGUGAAAUGCGUAGAUAUCAGGAGGAAUACCGAUGGCGAAGGCAGGUCUCUGGGCUGACACUGACGCUCAUGCACGAAAGCGUGGGGAGCAAACAGG
rnacentral:rRNA from 1 species